UACGUAGGCGGAAUAUUAAGUCAGUGGUGAAAUCCUGCGGCUCAACCGUAGAACUGCCAUUGAUACUGAUAUUCUUGAAUGUAGUUGAGGUAGGCGGAAUGUGUAAUGUAGCGGUGAAAUGCUUAGAUAUUACACAGAACACCGAUUGCGAAGGCAGCUUACUAAACUAUGAUUGACGCUGAUGUACGAAAGCGUGGGAGCGAACAGGAUUAGAUACCCUGGUAGUCC
rnacentral:rRNA from 1 species